GGGCUGGAAGCAGUGAGGAGUACCUCAACUUGAGCAACACCUUUUUUUUUUACAUUUAGCAUGUAAGAUCGUAA